rnacentral:rRNA from 1 species
AGAGUUUGAUCCUGGCUCAGGAUGAACGCUAGCGACAGGCUUAACACAUGCAAGUCGAGGGGCAGCGGGGGCGUAGCAAUAUGCCUGCCGGCGACCGGCGCACGGGUGAGUAACACGUAUGUAACCUGCCCUAUGCAGGGGGAUAACCCGGAGAAAUCCGGCCUAAUACCGCGUAACACCAUAGGGGAGCAUUCUCUUGAGGUUAAAGGAGAGAUCCGGCAUAGGAUGGACAUGCGUCGCAUUAGGUAGACGGCGGGGUAACGGCCCACCGUGCCGACGAUGCGUAGGGGUUCUGAGAGGAAGGCCCCCCACACUGGUACUGAGACACGGACCAGACUCCUACGGGAGGCAGCAGUGAGGAAUGUUGGUCAAUGGCCGAGAGGCUGAACCAGCCAAGUCGCGUGAGGGAAGAAUGUCCUAAGGAUUGUAAACCUCUUUUGUCGGGGAGCAAAAAGGCUCUGCGGAGUCGUAUUGAGAGUACCCGAAGAAAAAGCAUCGGCUAACUCCGUGCCAGCAGCCGCGGUAAUACGGAGGAUGCGAGCGUUAUCCGGAUUUAUUGGGUUUAAAGGGUGCGCAGGCGGCGUGUCAAGCAAGCGGUAAAAUAGCGGGGCUCAACCCCGUCGAGCCAUUUGAACUGGCGCGCUUGAGUUCAGGCGAGGUAGGCGGAAUUCGUGGUGUAGCGGUGAAAUGCAUAGAUAUCACGAAGAACUCCGAUUGCGAAGGCAGCUUACCAGUCUGCGACUGACGCUCAGGCACGAAAGUGUGGGUACCGAACAGGAUUAGAUACCCUGGUAGUCCACACAGUAAACGAUGAGCGCUAGGUGUCCGGGUCGCAUGAGACUUGGGUGCCCGAGCGAAAGCGUUAAGCGCUCCACCUGGGGAGUACGCCGGCAACGGUGAAACUCAAAGGAAUUGACGGGGGCCCGCACAAGCGGAGGAACAUGUGGUUUAAUUCGAUGAUACGCGAGGAACCUUACCCGGGCUCAAACGACUCAGGAAUAUAUUGGAAACGAUGUAGCCUGCAAUGGUCUGAGUCGAGGUGCUGCAUGGUUGUCGUCAGCUCGUGCCGUGAGGUGUCGGCUUAAGUGCCAUAACGAGCGCAACCCCUACCGCCAGUUGCCAACGGGUAAAGCCGGGAACUCUGGCGGGACUGCCGGCGAAAGCUGCGAGGAAGGCGGGGAUGACGUCAAAUCAGCACGGCCCUUACGUCCGGGGCGACACACGUGUUACAAUGGCAGGUACAGCGGGAAGCCACCUGGUGACAGGGAGCGGAACCCGAAAGCCUGUCUCAGUUCGGAUUGGAGUCUGCAACUCGACUCCAUGAAGCUGGAUUCGCUAGUAAUCGCGCAUCAGCCAUGGCGCGGUGAAUACGUUCCCGGGCCUUGCACACACCGCCCGUCA